rnacentral:misc_RNA from 1 species
CCGUGACGAGGAGACGGAAGACGUGCGGGGUUGCAUAUUGCGCAUUCACACCGCACGCGCAUCGGACUUGAAUCGGCAUGCUGCGGUGCCUCGGCCUGCUGCUCGCGAAGCCACAGGCGGCGCCGCGCCGAUCGACGAUACACGCCACGAGUAGCUGCAAGAAGGGCAAAGACCGCUUUGAUCUGUUCCACGCGUUGCAGAAGGACCGCCAGCGCAUCCGCCACAACCGCACCCUGCCGUGGCGUCAGAGGCUCGACCAGCUCCGUGUGUACCCAUGGAAACUCUUCCUUGCUUUUAUGAUGUUCUGGUCCUGGCUGGGGACGUACGCGGUACCGUACCUGAAAGGCAUGAGUGCCGGCGAGCUCCCCUCCGUUGGCCAGGGAAGGCUGAUUCCGGCAGAGGUGCGGGCCAAGGCCACACCCACGCCGCAGUUUGCGCACUUGAAGGAGCGAAAGUUGUAGGCAACGGAAUGCGCCUUCUCUGCUGGGCUUUGCCUCUGCCUCCUCCUUUCUGUGCUGCUGAACGCUCCUUUCUAGUGUACCGCCUCUUUUCUUUCCUUGCCGCAGCGCAUACG